GCGACCCCAGGACGGGCGAGACCAC
rnacentral:rRNA from 2 species